rnacentral:tRNA from 1 species
GGGCGGUUAGCUCAGCGGGAGAGCAUCGGCCUUACAAGCCGAGGGUCACAAGUUCAAAUCUUGUACCGCCCACCA